CCUACGGGAGGCAGCAGUGGGGAAUAUUGGACAAUGGGCGAAAGCCUGAUCCAGCCAUGCCGCGUGUGUGAAGAAGGCCUUCGGGUUGUAAAGCACUUUCAGUGGGGAAGAAAGCCUUGGGGCUAAUACCCUCGAGGAAGGACAUCACCCACAGAAGAAGCACCGGCUAACUCCGUGCCAGCAGCCGCGGUAAUACGGAGGGUGCGAGCGUUAAUCGGAAUUACUGGGCGUAAAGCACGCGUAGGCGGUCUGAUAAGCCGGUUGUGAAAGCCCCGGGCUCAACCUGGGAACGGCAUCCGGAACUGUCAGGCUAGAGUGCAGGAGAGGAAGGUAGAAUUCCCGGUGUAGCGGUGAAAUGCGUAGAGAUCGGGAGGAAUACCAGUGGCGAAGGCGGCCUUCUGGACUGACACUGACGCUGAGGUGCGAAAGCGUGGGUAGCAAACAGGAUUAGAUACCCCAGUAGUC
rnacentral:rRNA from 1 species